rnacentral:rRNA from 1 species
GGUAAUACAGAGGGUGCAAGCGUUAAUCGGAAUUAACUGGGCGGUAAAGACGCGCGUAGGUGGUUUGUUAAGUUGAAUGUGAAAUACCCCGGGCCGUCAACCUGGGAACGUGCAUCCAAACUAGGCAAGCUAGAGUAGGGCGAGAGGGUGGUGGAAUUUCCUGUGUAGCGGUGAAAUGCGUAGAUAUAGGAAGGAACACCAGUGGCGAAGGCGACCACCUGGGCUCAUACUGACACUGAGGUGCGAAAGCGUGGGGAGCAAACAGG